AGUGGCGGACGGGUGAGUAACGCGUGAGAAUCUGCCUUGGGGUCGGGGACAACCACUGGAAACGGUGGCUAAUACCGGAUAAGCCGAUUGGUGAAAGAUUUAUUGCCCGAAGAGGAGCUCGCGUCUGAUUAGCUAGUUGGUGAGGUAAGAGUUCACCAAGGCAGCGAUCAGUAGCUGGUCUGAGAGGACGAUCAGCCACACUGGGACUGAGACACGGCCCAGACUCCUACGGGAGGCAGCAGUGGGGAAUUUUCCGCAAUGGGCGAAAGCCUGACGGAGCAUACCGCGUGAGGGAGGAAGGCUCUUGGGUUGUAAACCUCUUUUCUCAGGGAAGAAGCUCUGACGGUACCUGAGGAAUCAGCCUCGGCUAACUCCGUGCCAGCAGCCGCGGUAAUACGGAGGAGGCAAGCGUUAUCCGGAAUUAUUGGGCGUAAAGCGUCCGCAGGUGGCGAUUCAAGUCUGCUGUCAAAGCACGGGGCUUAACUCCGUAAAGGCAGUGGAAACUGAAUAGCUAGAGUGCCGUAGGGGUAGAGGGAAUUCCCGGUGUAGCGGUGAAAUGCGUAGAGAUCGGGAAGAACAUCGGUGGCGAAAGCGCUCUACUGGACGGCAACUGACACUCAGGGACGAAAGCUAGGGGAGCGAAUGGGAUUAGAUACCCC
rnacentral:rRNA from 1 species